CUGAUCCCCCGAUCCCAUCCCCUUUCCCUUGCGAACCCUAGCCUCUUCCUCUCAAGCGCCGCCGCAGUCGUGUUGCCUCCCGAUCAUUCGCCGCCAGAUCACCGUCUUUGCUGUCCUCUUAGGUGCAGCCGCUACGCACACCCACGGUGCGCACUUCCUUUCCCCGGUUCCCCAGCCCAGUGCUGUCCCCCUCCCUUCACCGUGCAAAACCCUAAGCGCCGCCACCACAAGCAGGUACCGUUGCCGCCAGGAGAUCGCCCUCAUGUCACCUCGCUUCGCCAGAUCAUCGACGCACCGCCUCGCCGUACCGGUCCGGCGUCGACUCCGCACACGCUUCAGGUCUACCACGAUAACUCUUUCUAGGUAGUCCCAGCAUAUUGAAGGUAGUACCAUUAUGAACUUUCUCAUGCCAUGGCUAACUAUCGGCCUAUCAUUGUAGCAUUAUAUAUAUCUAUAUGUGUUGGUGUCCACUUACAAUUUCAUGCCUCUUUGAUAAUCUUGGUAAUUUUCUGGUCAUAUCUCCACCUGUGCAAAAUUUCCAAAUCCUGAUGGUCAAUUGGUUACCAUGCACUAUAUAUGAAUCGAUAUGGAAUGAUGCAUGCUUUAUUGUUGCAGUUAAUUUCAACAGAGUAAAACGGAAGGAGCGAUGGAUUCUCUACGCCUUGCAAGUGCAAUAUGAAAUGCUGGGGAUACGACAUUUCAGAUUCAUGCUUCAAGUGAUCACCAUAUGCUGAUAAGCUGAGAGUAUGCUCAAAUGCUCAGCCAGACCUUCUCUUAGAGGUUUCACUUGAUGAGGAAAUGAGUUUAUAGAUGUGUAGAGAAUCUGAAAAAGAUAUUUGGGAAGAGAUGGUAGGUGCAUUUCAGACAAUGGCAAGGAGCCAAGGAGGUUCAGAGGUUGCUUAACUUGAUGAACCUAUUGGAAAGGGUGACAAAGAUUUCGACAGGUUUUUACUUGUUUUGAGCUUAAUCCAUAUGGGAACUGUUACAGUAAACUGAAAUUCACAUUUGUAAUUCACAUGUAAACCAUUGACAUGACAGUGAAACCACUGGCCAUUUUGCUGGUAUAGUGAUAUUAGGGCCAUACAUGAAUUAUAGUUCAGUCUUUUUUUAUAAACUUUGGUGAUGAAGUUCAGAUCUCUUC
rnacentral:lncRNA from 1 species